GGAGCUUCAGAAGUGGUGAGUAACGCGUGGGAACGUGCCCUUCUCUAUGGAAUAGCCACUGGAAACGGUGAGUAAUACCAUAUACGCCCUUCGGGGGAAAGAUUUAUCGGAGAAGGAUCGGCCCGCGUUAGAUUAGGUAGUUGGUGGGGUAAUGGCCUACCAAGCCUACGAUCUAUAGCUGGUUUUAGAGGAUGAUCAGCCACACUGGGACUGAGACACGGCCCAGACUCCUACGGGAGGCAGCAGUGGGGAAUCUUAGACAAUGGGCGCAAGCCUGAUCUAGCCAUGCCGCGUGAGUGAUGAAGGCCUUAGGGUCGUAAAGCUCUUUCGCCAGAGAUGAUAAUGACAGUAUCUGGUAAAGAAACCCCGGCUAACUCCGUGCCAGCAGCCGCGGUAAUACGGAGGGGGUUAGCGUUGUUCGGAAUUACUGGGCGUAAAGCGCACGUAGGCGGAUUAGAAAGUUGGGGGUGAAAUCCCGGGGCUCAACCUCGGAACGGCCUCCAAAACUCCUAGUCUAGAGUUCGAGAGAGGUGAGUGGAAUUCCAAGUGUAGAGGUGAAAUUCGUAGAUAUUUGGAGGAACACCAGUGGCGAAGGCGGCUCACUGGCUCGAUACUGACGCUGAGGUGCGAAAGUGUGGGGAGCAAACAGGAUUAGAUACCCUGGUAG
rnacentral:rRNA from 1 species